CAUGGUGGUGUGAGCCUGUAGUCCUAACUACUCAGGAGGUUGAGGCAGGAGAAUCGCUUGAACCUGGGAGGUGGAGGUUGCAGUGAUCCGAGAUUACAAUUGCAUUCCAGCCUGGUGAGAGAGUAAAACUCCAGUCUCAAAAAAAAAAAAAAAAAAAAAAAAAAAAAAGCUCUUUGUACAGAUACGUUUAAACAGCCACCCCUUGUCCUUCAGUAUCCUGACUCCCUGAUGUAGCAUUUAUCCUUGCCAAAUUACUUGCUAUUUUGGGGAAAAGCCUUCCACUUUCCUCCCAGCUCCUUUCAUUCACUUUUGGACACCAACUGAUGUGAGAACCAUACUGAAGGCAUCAUUAAAGUAUCUUGGAUCUCAGCUAGUUUCUAAUGGAGAUUGAGGGGCUAAUGGAAGCUCAUGGUGGUAGUGGUGGGGCCUGGGCAUGCUGGACUAAAGUCUUAUUGCAGCUUAAGGCCACUUGGUUAUUCUGGUCCAAGCAUGAGUUGGUUUCCAGGGUGAUCCAAAGAGGUCACAGAUAAUCACUGUUCCAUAUAUAAGAAUCUAUAACUCACCCACCUUUCACAAUGGAGAUGAGACUGCAGAUAACUGAACGGGUCAAAGAGCCUGGUAGCUGGUGAUUGGACCUGUGUAAAAAGAGUGUGUGCUUUCCAUCAUUUCCUUUGUAGCCUGCAGUCCAGGGAUGAGUUUUGCUCUGAGAGCCAGCCCAGCUAUGGCCGGCAGUAGAGGAGCGGAGCGCAGACUGUGGUCAUCAAGCUGCUUGAAGAAUAAGAACCCAAGCCCAGGCAACAAGUGUCACAUCUGGGAUAAUAUAAAAAGAAAUGAUGCUGAAUAGACCACAGAGAUUUGGAAGAAGGAUUAACAAUACUAGUUCUAUUCUGCAACUCUUUGGGGGCCCAUGAAUAAAGCUUAAUGUUUAAAAGAAAUUGUAAUUGUUGAGAAAUACCUGGACAAUGUUUUAAAAUUCUAGGCUUAAUUUCAUAUAGACUAUCUGGCUAGACUUAUGGUCUGGGUUUGCUUUAUGAGAGAAAGGCUGG
rnacentral:lncRNA from 1 species